rnacentral:rRNA from 1 species
UCGGGUUGUAAAGCACUUUUGUCCGGAAAGAAAACUUCUGCCCUAAUACGGCGGGGGGAUGACGGUACCGGAAGAAUAAGCACCGGCUAACUACGUGCCAGCAGCGCGGUAAUCGUAGGGUGCGAGCGUUAAUCGGAAUUACUGGGCGUAAAGCGUGCGCAGGCGGUUCGUUAAGACAGAUGUGAAAUCCCCGGGCUUAACCUGGGAACUGCAUUUGUGACUGGCGAGCCAGAGUAUGGCAGAGGGGGGUAGAAUUCCACGUGUAGCAGUGAAAUGCGUAGAGAUGUGGAGGAAUACCGAUGGCGAAGGCAGCCCCCUGGGCCAAUACUGACGCUCAGGCACGAAAGCGUGGGGAGCAAACAGGAUUAGAUACCCUGGUAGUCCACGCCCUAAACGAUGUCAACUAGUUGUUGGGUCUUCAUUGACUUAGUAACGUAGCUAACGCGUGAAGUUGACCGCCUGGGGAGUACGGUCGCAAGAUUAAAACUCAAAGGAAUUGACGGGGACCCGCACAAGCGGUGGAUGAAGGUGGAUUAAUUCGAUGCAACGCGAAAAACCUUACCUACCCUUGACAUGGUCGGAACCUGCUG